GAUGAACGCUGGCGGUAUGCCUAACACAUGCAAGUCGUACGAGAGUUUUUAACUCUAGUGGCGGACGGGUGAGUAACACGUGAGAAUUUGCCUUUAGGAGGGGGACAACAAUUGGAAACGAAUGCUAAUACCCCAUAUGCUUUCGAGUGAAAUGGAUUUUAUCCGCCUAGAGAGAAGCUCGCGGCUGAUUAGCUUGUUGGUAAGGUAAGAGCUUACCAAGGCGACGAUCAGUAUCUGGUUUGAGAGGACGAUCAGACACACUGGAACUGAGACACGGUCCAGACUCCUACGGGAGGCAGCAGUGGGGAAUUUCCGCAAUGGGCGAAAGCCUGACGGAGCAAUACCGCGUGAGGGGAAGACCUGCCUANGGGUUGUAAACCUCUUUUUUCAGGGAGGAAUAAAUAGACGUGUACCUGAAGAAUAAGC
rnacentral:rRNA from 1 species